CUCUCAUCGUGGUUGAUCGCUGCCAGCGUACGUAGUGUACGUAUUACGUCCCUGUGUCAGCGGGAAAUGGUCCAACAGUCAGCCUCGCGUGUGGAGACUUCAGAAGAUGCCAGACCUCACAAAGAUUUCAGAUGAUGGAAACUAUAGAUGAACAUGCAAAGCUGUUAAAUAAUCCUUAUAUUGUAAUCAUUGCCCUAAAAGGGAGGAACUUGUCAGCAAAUCUACUUCACAGCACAUCAGUGAAAGCAGUUAACAGUUACAGACGUGUGUGUUGGAUCAGGGUCAGAUCUGAAUUCUGCAGGUUUCCUGUGAUGACCGUUGAAGAGAUCAGCACAUCAGAUGUUGGCCUGGACAGCUGUACCUACAGUACACCACACUGACUUCUUUGCAUGGAUAGCUGACUACUACUACUACUAUUAUGUUCUGUGAAGCAAACACAACAAAACAGUUACACCAUUUCAUAUUCUGCUUUGCACAAACCCUAUUCUACAAAUAAGAGAACAACAGUAUAGACCCUUUGCACGUGACGUCACCCUCUACUCGCACGAAUUGUGAAUGCCACGACGGACGGCAGAAGAGCUUUGCUGUAGGACGGACCGCAAGCCAAACGAGUACGAGUUCGUGUUCGUUCGUGUAAUAAAAUGUUUUGUUUUUUUUUUCGCUGCAGUGUUUAAUGUGAAAGGCUGUGAAUUCUCUGUGGACUUCAAGUGUUCAGAGAAAUACAUCGCGACCCAGAUCGCAAACUGACAUAGAAUCAACGUAGAAUCGACGUUUCUCGCGGAGUCGAAACGACGUUGAUCUCCGACGUCGAUCCAACAUAGUUUUGCUCAUCGGGUUAACGUUGAUCCGACGUCAGGCGCGCCAUUCAAAACUAACGGAAAAUCGACGCAAUUGGUUGUCUUACCUAACGUUGAAUCGACGUCGAUUUCCAGUUAGUUGAAACGACGUCAGAGAAUCAAUACGUUUUCAACAUAAAAUCGAUCUAAUUGGUUUGCUUACCUAACAUUGAAACGACGUUGAUUUCAUUGGGGUAAAACUACUUUACUAUUCACAUUUUCUGCUUGUUUUAAAAAUCUCACAUACUUACUACUAAAUAAAUUAGCCUGUAUAAUUAAAACUUUAUUAAACACAUCACAUUCAGUCACAAUUUCUUUAUUAUUUAUACAAUACAGUUUAUACACAGUUACAAAUACAUGUGUAGAGCACAAACCUUCUCAAGUCAAGAAAAUGCUUUUACACACAAAUAGGUAUAAAGUAUAUUAUAGGCUAAUAUAAAUUGUGUCAAGUAAAAAAGCUAUUAAAAACAAAUUAAAAGCUAUAUUCACUGAAUAAAAAAAAAAAAAUAUGACCAACUGUGUUUGACUUAUUUUCAGUGAGUCACAAAAGAAGAUGCAAGGCAGAACCUUACGAACUGACAGCCUCAGUCACAGUUCACUAUCAUUACUUUUCUAAAAAAAUAUAUAUACACAUAUAAAAAAAUAAUGGUGACGGAGGCUGUCACUCUUUGCUUUUGUGUUCCACAAAAUAAAAGAC